UUUUUGUCUCAGGGGAGCCAGUUGCAACACUCUGACUGCUGCAAGGGUGAUAGACUGGGUUCCAGCCAUCUCUAAAAUGGAGGUCUCUACUCUGAGAUUUGUGACCCAGCUGCAAGACCUUCAGUCGUCUGUCAACCUCUGAGCAGCUUCAUGAAAGAAAGCAGCCGACAAGUGGAAACAAAGGAGAGACAGGCGCUGACAGCAACACAGCAGGGGGCCGGUUAUGAGACUACACAGUGACUGUAUGGGGAUCUAAGCCUUUUUAGCAUGUCAUACUGUAACUUUGUGGAUGUUAAACUUCUUCAGCUUCUGAAGGAGUAAUGAUUGUUUUGCAUGGGAGUUAUGCAUUGGACCGAAAUCAAGGUAAUCCACACAAACUACAAAAACUGUAUCUCUGGGCACAAUCACAAACUGGUUCACUUGUUCCA